rnacentral:rRNA from 1 species
AGAGUUUGAUCCUGGCUCAGAGCGAACGUUAGCGGCGGGCUUAACACAUGCAAGUCGAACGCGAAAGGGCUUCGGCCCCGGUAGCGUGGCGUCCGGGUGAGUAACACGUAGGGAAUCUACCCUGGAGCGGGGGAUAACGUUCCGAAAGGAACGCCAAUACCGCGUAAGACCACGACGGCUACGGCCGAUGCGGUCAAAGAUGGCCUCUAUUCAUAAGCUAUCGCUCUAGGAUGACCCUGCGGCCCAUCAGCUAGUUGGUAGGGUAAUGGCCUACCAAGGCGAAGACGGGUAGCUGGUCUGAGAGGAUGAUCAGCCACACUGGCACUGAAACACGGGCCAGACUCCUACGGGAGGCAGCAGUGGGGAAUAUUGGUCAAUGGGCGCAAGCCUGAACCAGCCACGCCGCGUGAGUGAUGAAGGCCUUCGGGUUGUAAAGCUCUGUGGGGAGGGAAGAAAACGGCAGGUAAGAAACGACCUGUCCUUGACGGUACCUCCUUAGCAAGCACCGGCUAACUCUGUGCCAGCAGCCGCGGUAAUACAGAGGGUGCGAACGUUGCUCGGAAUUACUGGGCGUAAAGCGCAUGUAGGCGGGUCGGCAAGUCAGAUGUGAAAUCCCCGGGCUCAACCCGGGAACUGCAUCUGAAACUGCUGGUCUUGAGUACUGGAGAGGGUGGCGGAAUUCCUGGUGUAGAGGUGAAAUUCGUAGAUAUCAGGAGGAACACCGGUGGCGAAGGCGGCCACCUGGACAGUAACUGACGCUGAGAUGCGAAAGCGUGGGGAGCAAACAGGAUUAGAUACCCUGGUAGUCCACGCCGUAAACGAUGGGUGCUAGGUGUCUCGGGUAUUGACCCCUGAGGUGCCGUAGCUAACGCGUUAAGCACCCCGCCUGGGAAGUACGGUCGCAAGACUAAAACUCAAAGGAAUUGACGG